rnacentral:rRNA from 1 species
AGUGAACGCUGGCGGUAGGCCUAACACAUGCAAGUCGAACGGCAGCACAGUAAGAGCUUGCUCUUACGGGUGGCGAGUGGCGGACGGGUGAGGAAUACAUCGGAAUCUACUUUUUCGUGGGGGAUAACGUAGGGAAACUUACGCUAAUACCGCAUACGACCUACGGGUGAAAGCAGGGGAUCUUCGGACCUUGCGCGAUUGAAUGAGCCGAUGUCGGAUUAGCUAGUUGGCGGGGUAAAGGCCCACCAAGGCGACGAUCCGUAGCUGGGCUGAGAGGAUGAUCAGCCACACUGGAACUGAGACACGGUCCAGACUCCUACGGGAGGCAGCAGUGGGGAAUAUUGGACAAGGGGCGAAAGCCUGAUCCAGCCAUACCGCGUGGGUGAAGAAGGCCUUCGGGUUGUAAAGCCCUUUUGUUGGGAAAGAAAAGCAGCAGGUUAAUACCCCGCUGUUCUGACGGGACCCAAAGAAUAAGCACCGGCUAACUUCGU